rnacentral:rRNA from 1 species
UGGGGAAUAUUGGGCAAUGGGCGGAAGCCUGACCCAGCGACGCCGCGUGAGGGAAGACAGCCUUCGGGUUGUAAACCUCUGUUGCAGGGGAAGAAGGAAGUGACGGUACCCUGCGAGGAAGCUCCGGCUAACUACGUGCCAGCAGCCGCGGUAAUACGUAGGGAGCGAGCGUUGUCCGGAAUUACUGGGCGUAAAGGGCGCGUAGGCGGCGCUUCAAGUCGUCUGUCAAAUGGAAGGGCUUAACCCUUUAUAGCAGACGAAACUGGAGAGCUCGAGAAGCAGAGAGGCAAAUAGAAUUCCUGGUGUAGCGGUGAAAUGCGUAGAUAUCAGGAAGAAUACCAGUGGCGAAGGCGAUUUGCUGGCUGCGAACUGACGCUGAAGCGCGAAAGCCAGGGGAGCAAACGGGA